rnacentral:rRNA from 1 species
CACCCGCCCCCUCCCAAUGCCACUUCCGCGUACCUCGAGCUCGACGCCCAUGUCGUCCUGUGGAUCUACGCCACCCUCUCUGAUACGAUGUGUGACCAUGUCGUCGGCGCCACCACCACCUUCGCUCUUUGGCACAAGAUCAAGGAUUUCUUCCUCGCCAAUCGCGCCGCACGCUACAUGAUUCUCAAUCGCUAGUACCGCAACCUCAAACAAGGCGAUCUCUUGGUUUCCGAAUACGUGCGCUGCAUGAAGCUCCUCAGUGAUGGCUUGGCUAACAUCAAUCACGCCGUCACCGAGGUGGAUCUCACCACCCAAUUUCUACAUGGCCUCGACAAGCGGCUCGACACCAUCCGCGUCAUCCUCGGCGAUCAGGGCCUCCCCUUUGACACCGUUCUCUCCCGGGUCAUCCUUGCCGAAGAGUCCCAAGAACAGCGCGCGGCCGAGGAAAGCGCCUCGGCCUUCGCUCUGCCCGGUGGUGGAUCCGCUAGUGCCAGUUCCAGCACGGGCGUCCGCGCCGCCACCAAUCGGGGUGAUCGCCCCUCCGACCACUUCAAC